rnacentral:rRNA from 1 species
GACGAACGCUGGCGGCGUGCUUAACACAUGCAAGUCGAACGGAAAGGCCCUGCUUGCAGGGUACUCGAGUGGCGAACGGGUGAGUAACACGUGGGUGAUCUGCCCUGCACUUCGGGAUAAGCCUGGGAAACUGGGUCUAAUACCGGAUAGGAGCCAUUUUUAGUGUGAUGGUUGGAAAGUUUUUUCGGUGUAGGAUGAGCUCGCGGCCUAUCAGCUUGUUGGUGGGGUAAUGGCCUACCAAGGCGGCGACGGGUAGCCGGCCUGAGAGGGUGGACGGCCACAUUGGGACUGAGAUACGGCCCAGACUCCUACGGGAGGAAGCAGGGGGGAAUAUUGCACAAUGGGCGCAAGCCUGAUGCAGCGACGCCGCGUGGGGGAUGACGGCCUUCGGGUUGUAAACUCCUUUCGCUAGGGACGAAGCUUUUUGUGACGGUACCUAGAUAAGAAGCACCGGCUAACUACGUG